AGCGAACGCUGGCGGCAGGCCUAACACAUGCAAGUCGAACGAACUCUUCGGAGUUAGUGGCGGACGGGUGAGUAACACGUGGGAACGUGCCUUUUGGUUCGGAAUAACUCAGGGAAACUUGUGCUAAUACCGAAUGUGCCCUUCGGGGGAAAGAUUUAUCGCCAUUAGAGCGGCCCGCGUCUGAUUGGCUAGUUGGUGAGGUAACGGCUCACCAAGGCGACGAUCAGUAGCUGGUCUGAGAGGAUGACCAGCCACACUGGGACUGAGACACGGCCCAGACUCCUACGGGAGGCAGCAGUAGGGAAUCUUGCGCAAUGGGCGAAAGCCUGACGCAGCCAUGCCGCGUGAAUGAUGAAGGUCUUAGGAUUGUAAAAUUCUUUCACCGGGGACGAUAAUGACGGUACCCGGAGAAGAAGCCCCGGCUAACUUCGUG
rnacentral:rRNA from 1 species